UCUCGAUAAAGGCAAAACUGAUGAAAAUCAGUGACGCAAAGCUAUAGGGGCUAAGGUGCAUAGCACGAUGCCAGCCAGCUACCGAA
rnacentral:ncRNA from 1 species